GACGAACGCUGGCGGCGUGCUUAACACAUGCAAGUCGAACGAAGUGGCGAACGGGUGAGUAACGCGUAAUCAACCUGCCCUUCAGAGGGGGACAACAGUUGGAAACGACUGCUAAUACCGCAUACUGAAGAGGGGGAUUGCGUCGGAUUAGCUAGUUGGAGGGGUAACGGCCCACCAAGGCGAUGAUCAGUUGGCUGUGUGAGGGGAUUAACGGCCACAUUGGGAACUGGACACGGCCCAGACUCCUACGGGAGGCAGCAGUGGGGAAUCUUCCGCCAUGGACGAAAGUCUGACGGAGCAACGCCGCGUGGGUGGUGACGGCCUUCGGGUUGUAAAGCUAUUUUAAUCGGGACGCGGUACCGGAAUAGAAAGCCACGGCUAACUACGUGCCAGCAGCCGCGGUAAUUC
rnacentral:rRNA from 1 species